ensembl:snRNA U6 U6 spliceosomal RNA
UUGCUUUGGUAGCACAUAUAAUAACAUUGGAAUAACAUUGGAAUGGUGCAAAGAUUAGCAAGGCUCCUGAACAAGGAUGACACAAAUUUGUGAAGCCUUCCAUAUUUUA